UGAUGAUGAUGAUGAUGAUGAUGACGAUGAUGAUGAUGACGGUGACGCUGACGAUGACGAUGACGAUGACGAUCACGAUCAUCAUCAUCAUCAUCGUGGUAU
rnacentral:pre_miRNA from 1 species